rnacentral:lncRNA from 1 species
CCGCCUCUGCAACCUUUCUUUCUCUCAAACUCUGUCGAAGGGUCUCUAAACCCUAGCUCUUCUUACCCUUCUCCGACCUCGAUCUCAUCGGAGUCCAUGGCUUCUCAGGCCAUGGACGGCCUAUAGUCACCUUCCUUCACCCCCAAACCAUGCGUGUUCAAGAUUAUGAGGUCUGACCUCGAUGGCGUCUAUUCAAUUUCUCUACAGAUCUGUGGUUCUAUGGCCUCUCCGGCCUUGCUCCGACGUAUUCAAGAUUAAGGAGGCUAGCUAUGUCCAUCUUCAACUCCAGAACGGACUUUCUUCCAUGCCUUCUUAUUUCUAGGGUUUCAAAGAAACACUAAAGCUACUCAAGGUUCCUUCUUCUGUUAUUUGCCUAGAUAUGUGGUGAAUCUGUGCUAUCUUUAACGUUUUAUGCAUUUUCCCUAAUUUUAUUUUUUAAAAAAUAGUUUGUUUUCGAUUUAGGGUUUCUGAAAAUCUCAAAAUGACUUCUGUCUCUUCUUCUUCUUUUCUUUGUAUGAAUCUGUCUGUGCCAUGUUCUUAUGAGUUUUUCCCUUGUGUUCUUAUAUUUGCCGUGUUAUGAAUGUACUUCUGUUAUGUUAUUCUUUCUACUGAUUUCAUUAAGCAUGGUUUUUCAUGUCUAUCUCGUAUGUUCCUUCACUGCAUUUUACUUAGCUUUUAAUCCUUUUUUCCUUUACUAGACUAUUAUUACAAACUCUAAGCAUGCUUCCUCUACUGUUUUCGUAAGCUUAUGUCUCCUCUUCUCUUAUGAACUUAUUUGAGUAACAAGCUGUGCUUAAAUGUGUUCUCUGUAUUUCAAAUUAGUUUCCACAUUCUAUUUGCCUUGAAACUGUUGUUCUCUUUGUUUGUUUUCCUAUAAGUCUCUGAAGGAGACUACCAGACCCUCUCUGUUUUGACUCUAAAUCUUUUCUAUACGAUGUUCUAUUUUUUGUGCUGUUUGUGUGCUGUAUAUAUGAACACCUUUCUCUAAAAAGGCCUUUCUACCAAUUUAUGAUUGAUUCUGAACUCCUUUUUCUAAGGUUUGGUUGAGCGUUAUUGAUUUUCUUUAAAUUAAGCCCCUCUUCACCUUUCCUUGUUGGAUUCAUUCAUACCAAGACUCAAAUCCUUAUUUUACUGUCUGUUGAUUGAUUGUCUUUCCUUGUUUUGCCCAAACUUUGUACUACUAAACUAUUUCAUCAUAUAAGCUUCUGUAUAUUUGCCAUGUUAUACUGCUUUGGAAGAGAUUUUUAAAUCAAAUCGUUUCCUUAAUUGUUUUGGCUGUUUGAAUCAAAUCCCUGACCCAAAGGGAAACCUUAUGUGAUUGAUUACGAAACUAUUCUCUUACCUUUUUCAUACUUGGUUUCUACACUAUAAAAGGGACUACCCGUUUGCACUCCAUACAUAUCAUUUCUGCACUUGAAACAAGCUUUAUAGGCUUGAACACUGUAGAUUUUCCCUAUUAAAAUUGCACUCUCAUUCAUAGUAUUGAACACUCUGCUUUCUACUAUCUUCUUCUCUAUUCUUCUACUCUUCCUUUUAUGAAACAACUUUGAGUUUUUUUUCGAGCCUUCAACUGCUUGCUGAAAUUUAAGUUUGCUCCUGCUGUUUUACUUGUUGUGAUUGCUCUGAUGUUCUAUUUAUUUCGCUUUGCAACUCGUAUGUUAUUUGAAUCUAAAUAAUGCUCCUCCACUAAUUGUUUAUUUUCUAAGUUCUGUUAUGUUUCUUCACUAUGUUCCCGCUAUUUUGUUACUACAUCUUUUAUGUGAACACCUUUCCGUUUCCCCUUUGAUUGUCAGUAUGGUUUAAGACAUAGCAGCACUAUAACAUUGUUGUCUAUGACUUUGAACUGGGUUCUUCGAACCCCUGACUCAAUCAACUCCCACUUCCAUAUCCCCUAUUAUGUGUUUCAACCUUGGCUUAGGUCUGAGAGUGUCCUAAUCACUAUCCAGAUUUAGGUUUGACCUUCAAGGUCUACUCCUAACUUGUUUAACCCAAACAAGUUGUCAGGGGUGUGCCAGCCUGCACAUGUGGCUGGGCAUGACCACCACUUGUUUUGGUUCCCCAAUCACUUUGGACUUAUUCCUAGUUCUAAGUUCUGCCCCUUUAUUUAAAGCCAUGCUUUGGGACCCCUGAGCUCCCUCUGAACUUGGAUGUCUGAGGGUUGGCUCUUCCACACUGUGCUAUUCUAAUUCCAAAUGGUAUCCUGAGUAUGAGUAAUGCCGAGAAUCCUUGAGACUCCAUGGAACUUUGAAACACUUUGGAUAUAGAGAAGGCUUUGGAAAUCUGGAUUCCGUAAUUGGUUAAUCACAUAUUGUUGGACAUUAGGAUUGAAUUAUGCAGUUUAAAUCUAGCUGCUGGUCUUUGAUAUUUUUUAUAUCUUUCUCUUUUAGUAUGUAAUAAUUUGAAUAAAACUCGGGGAAUAUAGUAAAAGGGUAUGGGAGGGGUUUUACUUUCUUGCAUCAACAAGGGUAGAUAUCAUGCUUUUAGGACUUUAUCUCCCAUGAGAUAUCCUGCCUAUAGGUCUGUUUAUAUUUCAAAUUUAAUCACCUAGAGAACAUGCCUAUAGUGUUAACGCUUGACUAUGCUACAAAUCUCAUAGAAAGCAUGCCCAUAGCAUUUUACAUUCAUAUUUUGAAAUCAUGCAUAUACAGAUCCUGCCUAUAAGAGUUUAAAACCAUUUCUGAGAAUUCAUGUAUAGAUAUCAUGUCUAUAGGGAAUGCAUAUUCAUUAGGCAAAACUUUAGGAUUAAUUAUAUAAGCAUCCUUCUCAUAAACUGUUAAACAAGUUCUAAAAAUCAAAUAUAGAUAUCAUGCCUAUAGGAUUUUGCAUCAAAUUCAUCUGAUUCGUUUAAAGCAUUAAUAAUCUGUUUCUUAACGCCUUAACUCAGUAAUGUUUUUUCUGAAACUUAAUGUUUUCGAUAAAAAACGUGCCUUAAAUCAGUGUACACUUUCUCUGAAAUCUAUUUCGCUAAUUACACGCUUUUUUCUGAAACGGUUACUUUUCUAAUAUUAUACCUAAGCAUUUUCCAACUAAAUUCCAGUAUUUCUGAACUCUCUUAAACCAAUUCUUCAGUAUACUCUUUUCUUCAGAAAAGUUCUGAUUUCUAAAUACACUUUUACAAAUAAUUUUCUUUAUUCGAACAGUCUGCUGAUUUUCUUUUAAACUUAUUUCUAAAACUUAUUAUGUGGUCUGUUCUCUCUUUUGAAACUUUUCUGCAUUAGUCCUCUUCUGAAAUCAGUACCUUCUAAAUAAUUAACUUAUUAUACCUUAAUUUCUGCCAAUUGUAUCCGAAUUGCCUAUUGCAGACUUUCUGUCUAAAUAUAUGUGCUAAACCAGUCCGUUCGGCGCUUAAUUUUUAGCUUAACACCAAAUCAGUAUGUGGAAGGCAUGCUAAACUAUAUGUGUUAUCUCUUUAAGGGAUUUCUUUGAACCUUGUUUAUUUUCUUGUUCUUUCCCUUACCUUGUAUUUGUUUUGAUUGUCGAAUUUGACUUUUAUCCUUUGAAACUCCACAAAAGCCCCAUCCCUUUCUUUCCCUUUCAGUAGUAGAAGUCCUAAUAUCCCGGGACUGAUAGAUUGUGACGGCUACUAGUAUGCAAUAAGUAAUCGAGACUAAACGUGCUUUAAUACCUUAACGGGGUGGGAAGGGUAGAAUAUGGAUAUGAUGACCAGUGCGCUAAUAUCACGUGCGAAUCCUCUUAUGAGGAGUGAUUGCUGGACAUUACAUUGAUGUGAUCCAUAUUUUGUAUAAACAUAGGACCCCUUUUCCCUUUUCUUUACUUGUAAAUGUUUUCUUCAAAUUAUGUCUUCAGAAAAAAUAAUCCUUUUUUGUCUAAAAUAGUUCAUUCUUAUUAAAAUUUCAAUCUUAUUUGUAAUGACUGUGUGCAAACUUUAUUUGUUUUUACCUUCUUGAAGUUACAAUUAUAGCAUGGCUGGGAACCACACUAGUGGAUCUUGUAGGGUGCCUAACACCUUCCCCUCGAGAUAAUCUAUAAGCCCUUACCCGAACUCUUGUUUCCUUCUUCUAAAAUUCUUCAUAUCUUUAAAGUGUCCUAAUGCAUUAUAAUCAUUAGGUGGAGACUCUCCAAAUCCAAAACCCAAUUCUUGUAAGAGAAUAAAGAGUUUUCCUCCCAUAAUGUUGUAUACCCGCUUUCCGGACUCUCCGUCCAAUGAAAGAGGGGGCGUCAACAUGGUUUAGAACCUCCAUUAUUGAGCGAUUUUGGAGCUUGGGGGAACUAAUUGAAGAGGGAUUCAAGGGAAAUCACCUGGAGCUAAGAUUUUUGAACUCAAUACUCGAUUAUUAUGUGAAUUUCACCUAGAAAAUAAUGAAAACUAAGCCUAAAAUUAAAGAACUAGGGCUUGAGAUAUUCGACUUUAUAUUUGGGAUUUGAAGAACUAUUUGGGUCGGAUUUGAGAACUUUUGAUAUGUAUGAACUCGUGAGGAGAUAAGGAAUCCAACAAUAUACAUAUUUCUGAAUUUUGAGAUGUGGGCUCAUGUCUCGUGUUUUGUUAAUUUUUGUGUUUUCUGAUUUUUUUCGCUUGGGUUUUGUUUCCUUAGCAUAUUGUGACAUAUUCGUUUUGAUUUUGGAUAGAUUCGACGCUCGUGGAGGCUGAUUUUAGGGGCAAAGGCGUCACGAGCUAGAGAUUUAGCUGGUUCGAGG